rnacentral:rRNA from 1 species
CAUCAGAGCCUCAUCACCCUGCAGCCCAAGACCAGUUACUCACUGAAGCUAAGCAGGGCUGUGCCUGGUCAGUACCUGAAUGGGAGACCACAUGAGAAAACUAGGUUGGAAGUGGUAA